rnacentral:lncRNA from 1 species
GUGGGAUGCCUGCUCCCCAGGAACUUUAAGCACUUCCAUAUGGAUUCUCUGUCUGUGGGAUACUUGGUUAGGUUUUUCAGCAGUUCCACCAGUGCAAGAUGGAUGCCUUCUUUAGUUGAGACGUUGGUGCAACACAACAGUUCAUGAAGAGCUUCUCGAAUGUCCCUUGAAGAAUCCUCCAGGACAGCUAACACAGUGUCCAGCUGGUCCUCCCGCAGCGUGAUAUUGUUGGAAAUUUUUCUCAUCGUGUGUAUUGACUGCAACCUCACCUCCUCAAUUUCAU